GGAGUGCUCCAGCAUGCGUGAGACUCACGGAGGGAGGUCCAGCAACAGCAAGGCUGAGGUCACUGGUUGUGCUUGAAGGAGAGAAAUAUGAUGAGAUUGUAGCAGGAAGCUGUUUAAUCCCAGAGCUGAGGCUGGAACUAUGGGAGGAAGAAGAGCUCAGUGGUGGAGCACAUGCAUGCAAAGGGUACCAGGGAGGUCCAAUCUCCCACUCCUCCAGUUAAAAAACAUCUCAGGAAGCUGAAGAAGACCUCUCUCUGCCUGGGACCCUGUAGAGCUGCUGCCAGUCAGAGAUGACAGAACUGGAUAAGAUGGACCAUCAGUCUGACUUGACAGAAGCAGCUUUGGAUAUUCAAACAUAUAGCAUGGCUGUGCUGUGUUAGCUUAGAAGAACUUGG